rnacentral:rRNA from 1 species
GACGAACGCUGGCGGCGUGCUUAACACAUGCAAGUCGAACGGAAAGGCCUCUUUCGGGGGGUACUCGAGUGGCCAACGGGUGAGUAACACGUGAGUAACCUGCCCUUUACUUUGGGAUAACUUCAGGAAACUGGGGCCAAUACCUGAUAGGAGCUCCUGCUGCAUGGUGGGGGCUUGAAAGUUUCGGCGGUUGGGGAUGGGCUCGCGGCUUAUCAGCUUGUUGGUGGGGUAGUGGCUUACCAAGGUGUUGACGGGUAGCCGGCCUGAGAGGGUGACCGGCCACACUGGGACUGAGAUGAGGCCCAGACUCCUACGGGAGGCAGCAGUGGGGAAUAUUGCAGAAUGGGUGGAGGCCGGCUGCAGAAAGGCCGUGUGCGGGAUGACGGUGUUCGGGUUGUAGACCGAUUUCGCUCAUGACGAAGCUUUGUGUGACGGUAGUGGGUAAAGAAGCACCGGCUAACUACGUG